rnacentral:lncRNA from 1 species
AGUGAAAUGAUGUGGAACACAAUGCAUUCUUUUCUGGUUGUCUUGGUUGUUGCAAGGAGACAUUGGGCAUUGUAAUGAAUGGAUGACAAUGUGUGUCGCUGGCAAACCUACACUAUGUGCAAUUUUCCUGGUGGUUAUCCUGGGCAAAUGUGUAAUAUCACAAGGGAUAUCUUGGGCAAAUGUGCAAUAUCACAAGGGAUAUCUUGGUACGAUUAUUAAAGAAGGAUGAUGUUGUAAGGUUAGUGGAUAUUUAUAAUAGUGAUAAAAUGGGGGUUUCCUGCAAAUAAGAACAAAGUAAGGCUGCCCAAUUAAGUGGAAACAAUAUUGCGGAGUGUAACAAUCUAACAAUAUGACAGACUGAUUAAUCUGUAAAAAUGAUGCAUGUUUAGAAAAAGCAAAAAUUGCGGCAUAAAUAUAUCAGGAAACAGGCUUCAAACUGCGCGUGCUCAGCAAGUUUAAAGUGAGUCGUCAUCAGGUCGUCAUCCAAUCAGAUGCAUGCAUCUGGUAACUUGCCGAGCAUGCGCACAAAAAAAGUGGGUACACUAGUUACGUCUCUGUAUGUCUCUACUCUGUGGUACAGGGUUCGAAAUAACGGUUCGUGAUUUGUGAAUCACGAAUCAAUUUUCAUUUUUCACGAACCCAAUUUCAUAGAAAUUGAUCAAAAUCAC